ACAGCAGUCGCCGCGGUAAUACAGAGGGUGCGAGCGUUAAUCGGAUUUACUGGGCGUAAAGCGUGCGUAGGCGGCUUUUUAAGUCGGAUGUGAAAUCCCUGAGCUUAACUUAGGAAUUGCAUUCGAUACUGGGAAGCUAGAGUAUGGGAGAGGAUGGUAGAAUUCCAGGUGUAGCGGUGAAAUGCGUAGAGAUCUGGGGGAAUACCGAUGGCGAAGGCAGCCAUCUGGCCUAAUACUGACGCUGAGGUACGAAAGCAUGGGGAGCAAACAGGAUUAGAUACCCCAGUAGUCCCUGUCUCUUAUAC
rnacentral:rRNA from 1 species